rnacentral:rRNA from 1 species
CACGUAGGGGGCGAGCGUUGUCCGGAUUUAUUGGGCGUAAAGAGCUCGUAGGCGGCUCGGUAAGUCGGGUGUGAAAACUCGGGGCUCAACCCCGAGACGCCACUCGAUACUGCUGUGGCUAGAGUCCGGUAGGGGAGCGUGGAAUUCCUGGUGUAGCGGUGAAAUGCGCAGAUAUCAGGAGGAACACCGGUGGCGAAGGCGGGUCUCUGGGCCGAUACUGACGCUGAGGAGCGAAAGCGUGGGGAGCGAACAGG